UGGGGAAUUUUGGACAAUGGGCGAAAGCCUGAUCCAGCAAUGCCGCGUGAGUGAAGAAGGCCUUCGGGUUGUAAAGCUCUUUUGUCAGGGAAGAAACGGUGAGAGCUAAUAUCUCUUGCUAAUGACGGUACCUGAAGAAUAAGCACCGGCUAACUACGUGCCAGCAGCCGCGGUAAUACGUAGGGUGCAAGCGUUAAUCGGAAUUACUGGGCGUAAAGCGUGCGCAGGCGGUUUUGUAAGUCUGAUGUGAAAUCCCCGGGCUCAACCUGGGAAUUGCAUUGGAGACUGCAAGGCUAGAAUCUGGCAGAGGGGGGUAGAAUUCCACGUGUAGCAGUGAAAUGCGUAGAUAUGUGGAGGAACACCGAUGGCGAAGGCAGCCCCCUGGGUCAAGAUUGACGCUCAUGCACGAAAGCGUGGGGAGCAAAACAGGAUUAGAUACCCUGGUAGUCCACGCCCUAAACGAUGUCUACUAGUUGUCGGGUCUUAAUUGACUUGGUAACGCAGCUAACGCGUGAAGUAGACCGCCUGGGGAGUACGGUCGCAAGAUUAAAACUCAAAUGAUUGNCGGGGUCAUAGCUGUUUCCUG
rnacentral:rRNA from 1 species